rnacentral:hammerhead_ribozyme from 1 species
AUCCAUCUGAUGAGUCCCAAAUAGGAUGAAGCUUGCGUCCUGGAU